GAGUUUGAUCCUGGCUCAGCACUACAAGAAGUUCGAAAGUUUUCAUCACAAGGGUGCCCCCGCGCACUAUCUUGUUGUUGGUGGGGUAAUGGACCACCAAGGCGACGACUGGUAGCCGGCCUGAGAGGGCGACCGGCCACGCUGGGACUGAGACACGGCCCAUACUCCUACAGGAGGCAGCGGUGGGGAAUAUUGCGCAAUGGGCGAAAGCCUGACGCAGCGACGCCGCGUGAGGGACGACGGCCUUCGGGUUGUAAACCUCUUUCAGCAGGGACGAAGCGAAAGUGACGGUACCUGCAGAAGAAGCACCGGCCACCUACGUGCCAGCAGCCGCGGUAAUACGUAGGGUGCAAGCGUUGCCCGGAAUUAUUGGGCGUAAAGAGCUCGUAGGCGGUUUGUCACGUCGGAUGUGAAAACUCGGGGCUCAUCCCCGAGCCUGCAUACGAUACGGGCAGACUUGAGUGUGGCAGGGGAGUCUGGAAUUCCUGGUGUAUCGGUGAAAUGCGCAGAUAUCAGGAGGAACACCGGUGGCGAAGGCGGGACUCUGGGCCAAUACUGACGCUGAGGAGCGAAAGCGUGGGGAGCGAACAGGAUUAGAUACCUUGCUAGUCCUCGCCGUAAACGGUGGGUGCUAGGUGUGGGGAACUUUCCACGUUCUCCGUACCGCAGCUAUCGCAUUAUGCACACCGCCUGGGGAGUACGGCCGCAAGGCUAAAACUCAAAGGAAUUGACGGGGGCCCGCACAAGCGGCGGAGCAUGCGGUUUAAUUCGAUGCAACGCGAAGAACCUUACCAAGGUUUGACAUAUAGGGAAAACUCAUAGAGAUAUGAGGUCCGUAAGGGCCCUAUACAGGUGGUGCAUGGCUGUUGUCAGCUCGUGUCGUGAGAUGUUGGGUUAAGUCCCGCAACGAGCGCAACCCUCGUUCUAUGUUGCCAGCGGAUUAUGCCGGGGACUCAUAGGAGACUGCCGGGGUCAACUCGGAGGAAGGUGGGGACGACGUCAAGUCAUCAUGCCCCUUAUAUCUUGGGCUACACGCAUGCUACAAUGGCCGGUACAAAGGGCUGCGAUACCGUAAGGUGGAGCGAAUCCCAUAAAUCCGGUUUCAGUUCGGAUCGGGGUCUGCAACUCGACCCCAGAAGUCGGAGUCGUUAGUAAUCGCAGAUCAGCAAUGCUGCGGUGAAUUCGUUCCCGGGCCUUGUACACGCCGCCCGUCUCGUCAGAAAAGUCAACAACAGAAGAAGCCGGUGUAACAAGGAAGGGAGGGGGGAGUUGAAGGAGGGGGUCGUGGUUGGUACGAAGUAGUCGCAAGGUAACCGUCCCGGAAGAUGCGGCUGGAUCACCUCCUUUCU
rnacentral:rRNA from 1 species